rnacentral:lncRNA from 1 species
ACUGGAAAAAGAGGUGGAGGGUAUGCUUGUGGAGGGUCGCGCACGGUUUGUGAUGCAUUAAGGAAUGAUGGGGAAGUGAUAAAUAUGCAGGAGGGGGCUGGAGUGUGCGAGGUCCCCCUCAGAAGUCUGGAUCGGCGGGAUGAGUUGUGUGUUGGGGCGGCAGCUGGAGGCCUUAGAGGGGGAAUCUUGGAACAUGGAGAGGCUGUUGAGAAACUAACAUGAGGACUGCCCUUGCAGGGCGGGCGUAUGAGAGGGAUCUGCUGAUUGAUUGGGACAGUUCUGGAGUGGUCGGGCAAGGCCUGAACGGCGGGGCUGCCUGUGGCGGAGACGGUCCGGAUUUGCAAAGGUGGAGGGGGUGCCGCGUUGUAGACGAUAGGCGGAUGGAUUCCAUCCGGAAGCCCUGGAGAUGCCUGUUAGGGAGAUGGAAGGCGCAACUGGGAC